AUUUUAAAUUGGACAUUCACAUAUUAUGGUCCAAUAUCCAAAAUCUAAAUACAUGGUUAGAUUCAGCAUAUCAAAGAACCCCAAGAAUUCAAUUUUUGAUGAAAUCAAACAAAGUUUAAUUUUGGACCCUUUUGACCUCAAUGUGAACCAAUUUGAUAGCAGGCCCACAAAUAAAAAAUCUAAAUACAUGGUAAGAUUCAGCAUAUCAAAGAACCCCAUAUAUUCAGUUUUUGUUGAAAUCAAACAAAGUUUAAUUUUGGACCCCAGUUUGGACCAACUUGAAAACUGGGCCAAAAAUCUAAAAUCUAAAUACAUGUUUAGAUUCAGCAUAUCAAAGAACCCCAUAUAUUCAAUUUUUGUUGAAAUCAAACAAAGUUUAAUUUUGGACCCCAACUUGGACCAACUUGAAAACUGGUCCCAUAAUCAAAAAUCUAAACACAUGUUUAGAUUCAGCAUAUCAAAGAACCCCAAGAAUUCAAUUUUUGUUAAAAUCAAACUUAGUUUAAUUUUGGACCCUUUGGACCUUAAUGUAGACCAAUUUAAAAAACGGGACCCAAAAUUAAAAAUCUAAAAACACGGUUAGAUUUGGCAUAUCAAAGAACCCCAAGAAUUCAAUUUUUGAUGAAAUCAAACAAAGUUUGAUUUUGGACCCUUUUGACCUCAAUAUGAACCAAUUUGAUAGCGGGGCCCACAAAUAAAAAAUCUAAAUACAUGGUAAGAUUCAGCAUAUCAAAGAACCCCAUAUAUUCAGUUUUUGUUGAAAUCAAACAAAGUUUAAUUUUGGACCCCAGUUUGGACCAACUUGAAAACUGGGCCAAAAAUCUAAAAUCUAAAUACAUGUUUAGAUUCAGCAUAUCAAAGAACCCCAUAUAUUCAAUUUUUGUUGAAAUCAAACAAAGUUUAAUUUUGGACCCCAACUUGGACCAACUUGAAAACUGGUCCCAUAAUCAAAAAUCUAAACACAUGUUUAGAUUCAGCAUAUCAAAGAACCCCAAGAAUUCAAUUUUUGUUAAAAUCAAACUUAGUUUAAUUUUGGACCCUUUGGACCUUAAUGUAGACCAAUUUAAAAAACGGGACCCAAAAUUAAAAAUCUAAAAACACGGUUAGAUUUGGCAUAUCAAAGAACCCCAAGAAUUCAAUUUUUGAUGAAAUCAAACAAAGUUUGAUUUUGGACCCUUUUGACCUCAAUAUGAACCAAUUUGAUAGCGGGGUCCACAAAUAAAAAAUCUAAAUACAUGGUUAGAUUCAGCAUAUCAAAGAACUCCAUAUAUUCAAUUUUUGUUGAAAUCAAACAAAGUUUAAUUUUGGACCCAAAUUUGGACCAACUUGAAAACUGGGCCAAAAAUCAAAAAUCUAAAUACAUGUUUAGAUUCAGCAUAUCAAAGAACCCCAUAUAUUCAAUUUUUGUUAAAAUCAAACAAAUUUUUAUUUUGGACCCUUUGGACCUUAAUGUAGACAGACCAAUUUGAAAACUGGAUCCAAAAUUAAAAAUCUAAAUACAUCGUUAGAUUCGGCAUAACAAAUAAAUAAAUGUGGUCAAAGAUUUUACAAAUCUAAUGUGCCAUACUGUGCAGUUGAUAACGGGGCCCAAAAAUCUAAAUACAUGGUUAGAUUCAGCAUAUCAAAGAACCCCAUAUAUUCAAUUUUUGUUGAAAUCAAACAAAGUUUAAUUUUGGACCCCGAUUUGGACCAACUUGAAAACUGGGCCCAUAAUCAAAAUUCUAAAUACAUGUUUAGAUUCAGCAUAUCAAAGAACACUAAACAUUCAAUUUUUGUUUAAAUCAAACUAAGUUUAAUUUUGGACCCUUUGGACCUUAAUGUACUCCAAUUUGAAAACGGAACCAAAAAUUAAGAAUCUAAAUACACGGUUAGAUUCGGCAUAUCAAAGAACCCCAAUAAUUCAAUUUUUGAUGAAAUCAAACAAAGUUAAAUUUUGGACCCUUUGGACCUCAAUGUGGACCAAUUUAAAAACGGGGCCCAAAAUCCAAAAACUUAAUACACGGUUAUAUUCAUCAUAUUAAAGAACCCCAAGAAUUCAAGAAUAAAACCCCAUUGAAAUUGAUCAAGAAAUGAGCAAUUUAUAAGAAGUAUCUUCUUUUGCACAAUACUGUGCAAUUGAAUAUUUCUUGCUAUUGCGCAAUACUGUACAAUUGACAAUUUCUUGCUAUUGCGCAAUAUUGUGCUAUUGGAUAUUUCUUGCUAUUGCGCAAUACUGUGCAAUUGAAGAUUUCUUGCUAUUGCGCAAUACUGUGCAAUUGAAGAUUUCUUGCUAUUGUGCAAUACUGUGCAAUUGAAAAUUUCUUGCUAUUGCACAAUACUUAUUAUAUAAAAAUUUACACAUCCUGUUUGGUGUGUAUCUCCUACAAUAUCAUUAUUAUUUGCUUUUAUAUAUAAAUCAGAAAUAACCAACUUAAAAUGGAAAAUUUUAAAAGAAAAAAAAAAGGAAAAAAAGAAAAAAAAAAGAAAAAAAAAAAAAUCCCCCCCCCCAAAUUUUUUGAACCCCCUUAUGAUUCAUCACCCCCAAACUCAAUCCCAGCCUUCCCUUUGUGGUAUGGUACCUUGCAGUACAAUUUCAGAGAGAUCCAUACACUUGAACACAAGUUAUUGUCUUGAAACUAGAAAAAUGCUUAUUUUUGGCCCCUUUUUGGCCCCCAAUUCCUAAACGUUUCAGGCAAUUACCCCCGAACUCAAUUCCAGCUUUCCCUUUGUGAUAUGGAACCUUGUAGUACAAUUUCAGAAAUAUCCAAACACUUACACACAAGUUAUUGUCAUGAAACUAGAAAAAUGCUUGUUUUUUGCCCCUUUUUUGGCCCCUUAUUCCUAAAAUUUUGAGGCAAUUACCCCCAAAAUCAAUUACAGCCUUCCCUUUGUGAUAUGGAACCUUGUGGUACAAUGUCAGAGAGAUCCAUACACUACCACACAAGUUAUGUCUGGAAGUUACAAAAAUGCUUAUUUUUGGCCCCCUAAUUCCUUAACUGUUGGUACAGUAACCCCCAAAAUCAAUCCCAACCUUCCUUUUGUGGAAUUGAACCUUAUGGUAAAAUUUCAUAGAGAUCCAUUAACUUAAACUUAUGUUAGAGUGCGAAAACCAAUGUGUCUUCGGACGACGACAACGCCAACGUCAUACCAAUAUACGACCACAAAAUAUUUUUGCAGCCGUAU